UGUCGCGGGUGUAUUUUGGCACAAGGAAAGGAAUAUCCUGGAAUAUAUUUUGAAAGCGAUGCUGAAGCAGAUGCCCUGCAAUUUGGAUAAUGACAGUACGCAUCUCCUCAUCCAGCAGUGGAAGGAAUCCAAAUUCUUGGAAUGAGAUGUCAACCUUUAAUUGCUGCCCCGGGAUCUUCUGAUGAUCUCAGGUGAGCACAGAGAAGAGCUGACUAAUGGAAACAUGAUCUCAAGAGAUUCAACAGUCAUGACAGCAGGGUAAAGAAUGCAGUGGCACAGAGAUAUCACUUCAAACACGGCGUCUCUCAGGAGCCUCAGAUCCUUUCAGUGGAACUGAAUGAAGAUGUGCUUUGAUGACCCACCACAGAGUCGGUGGCCUUCAAAGAAACCUGUUGAUGGGCUUGUGCGGGGCAGCCAGCAGGCUGAAUGAGUGGUACUGUAUACGUGCACCUCCCAGGGUUGCUGUGGGUGUUCUCAAUAGAGGUCAAACAUGCUUGACCCUAACAUGAGUAGUCUUUUUCUAUAGAUUUUAGGCUUGCUUUACCUUCUUUCUUUUUUCUUUUUUUUCCCCCUUCUGCCAGGCAUUCUGGGUAAAUGAAGGGGAACUGUGUGUGUGGAUGGCAUGGUGCCAGCAGACAGGUACAGUAGAUGUGCUGAUGAGGGAGGAAGAUAGGGGCCGGCCUCAGUCGCUGCCCGAGGCACAGACAGGCGUACACAGGCAGGCGUAGACUCAGAGGCAGGUUGGGACCUGGUUCUGUGUGCUGAUGCUGCUCUACGGGCAUAGGAGAGAAACGUGGGAAGUGAAAAAAACAGAAUGGAGGGUAUAUGGAGAGAUAGACAAAGUCAAGCAAAAGGAUGAUUGUUGAGUGGCGAAGCUGAAAAGGCAUACAACCAAAAUAUGAGGGUCGAUAAUAGAGUGUUAACAAAAAGCAGAGUAUUUGUAUCUUAGGAAGCUGGAAAGAGAUGAUGAUGUGUGAAGCCCAGAGGCAAGAGAAAGCAAGAAGUAGAUUAAGAACGAGUACAAGAGUGAGGCCACAUCCUGUAUGCUGGUGGAACGUGACUCCCUGCAGGUAAACCCAGCUCAGAGGUUAAGACAGGCAGAAAGAAGAUGAGAAACACUGAUGGAUGACUACUUAUCCUCUGACACAUGGGCAAAAAACAGGCGGGACAGGCCAGUCCUGUCUCUCUGCUGCCAUGACAACCGCAAGGCUGAUUGGAUGGUGUUCAGGGGCGAAAUGUCAUUUUGUGGGAGGUUGAAUGCGCAAGCACAGGUAACACAGAGUACAGGUUGUUCAGAGGCCACCUACCUGCAUUACCUCACCUUCUGACGUUGUGAAAGAAGCAGAUGUUGUACUCUGAUCAACACAACUAUGCAGCUGUUGUUCCCGAUAUGAAACAAUUUUCUCAUCAUCUUCCUUAACACACUUUAAUUCUAGAUAAAAGUUCUAGAUAAAAGGGAUAUUUUGUUUCUUUAAUCAUUGAAAAUGAGACACAUCUCUCUAAUCAGGAUUUUGUUGGCCUGAAGUGAUACAAGGGUGACAUCUUAAUUCUGGUGUUGGACUGAAAAGUAGCUCACUCCAGCUGCACUGUAAGACCUUGUGAUCCAUAUCCACACUGCUGGAAGUAAAAUACACAGGCUGGCUUUUGCCACCACACAUAAUGUGAUAAUUUCAGCUGUGGAUGAGGCUCUGGGUGGUUCAUCUGCAACUUCUUUAUGCCAGUUUGAAUCCUCAAGUUUUUACAUGUGGAAAGUCUGUGAAAGCAGCCAAAUCCUAUCUGUUAAAGGAAUUAGGAGAGCAGACGUUAAUGUUGAUCAAUUUUGGGUGUUGUAUGAAAGUGAUCACAGCAGUUACUUUUAAUGUUUUAUUGCCAGAAAUUUUUAAAUACCUAUAAUUUUCUUUAGCAUGCAAACAUGUGUCAAUGUUCAAGCUUCAAGUGGUUUUUGGCCUCAGUCAAUCAUUAGUUUCUGUAUUAUGUUUCUAGGAUCAUACUAAAUCCUGGUUUGGACUAUGGACCAGCAUCCCCUACAGCAGAUGUUUGCUCCUGGCAUGGCUGCGAAACAGCGUGAAGCUCCAUCGCUGACAAUCUCGCGCUAAGAAUCCAGCGCCAGCAGUUUGGACUUGGAGAAGCUGUGACAUAAACUCAGCGGGACAGUGGAGUGUAUUCUGUUGCUCAGACAUUAUGGAACAGAUCAGUCAAUCCUCAUCUGGAGAGCCGCUCGAUAGGAAAGUCAGCUCGAUGAAUGUACAUUUACCACAAAGGAUCUACACAUUGUUUGACUUUUUCUAAAUUGAAGCUGGAUUAAUAUUUUCCCAUAAUAUACAUCUGCUUUUGAUAUUCACUGUUUAUUCACGCUGUUGCUCAUACACUGCAGUUGUGACAUAUACUGUGUUAUUCUGGAUACAGUAUCAACAAGCGCUGGAACUGUAAAUGGAAAAUAAUCAAUCAGUUUUUCAUUUUUUUAGUCCUAUUUUUACAGGCUGAAGACUGAAGCUCUUACACCAGCGCAGUCGCAUACAAAGUUAAUAGACACUUGAACAUUUGUUAGAAGUAUUACUCAUUUACUGGAAAUGUAAAGUUAUCAUAUGACAUCUCAUAAUUGUGAUCACAAAGAAGCCAUUGUAAAGAAGGUGCUGAUGAAUGCAAACCAAAAACACUGUUGUUGACGUUUGAUGUGACACAUUGGCAGCUUGAGUUAAUAAUAAGAAAUCAUCCUGUCAAGGUGUGUAUGGUCAUGAUUUAUGGUCCCUUAACAUUUCUUGUGUCUGUAAAAUCCUGUCAGAAGAAAUAAUAAUAAAAAAAAAGUCUA